GUCCUUGGGAUGAUCCACUUCUUCAGUGAUUUCUUUUUAAGAAAAAAGGAAGUCGUUUGGAACGACAGGUUUUGCAUAGCACACUGGGAAGAGCAAUACUCUCUAUCAAUUGAAAAUGGGAAGAUCUAGCUGGCUAGGGAUGUGUCGACGGCUGUUACUGUCAUCUAUGGUUGAAGAAUCGCCCAUUAAUCAAAAUCUGUGGCUUGACAAAGCUUCUACAUUGCGUCAAUCGUUAUUUCAACAAAGAGCUUUGCAUAGUUGUACCUUUGUUAUUCACAAAGAUGAUGAUUUUGCAACUAUGGGAAUGUUGUUGGCGAAGCGCUGUAUUCAUGCUACAGGAUCUUGCUACUCCAGUCAGCGAGACUACUACGAGGUUCUUGGUGUUCCAGAAAAUGCUAGCCAAGAUGAGAUAAAAAAGGCUUUUCAUGCUCUUGCCAAGAAGUAUCAUCCAGAUGCAAAUAAGAAUAAUCCUUCUGAAAAGAGGAAGUUUCAAGAGAUAAGAGAUGCCUUUGAGAUUCUGCGAGAUUCUAAGAAGAGGGCUCAGUAUGACAUGGGGCGAAGCAGAGGUUCGGAGAAUGUAGAAUAUAAUACUGGUGGUGCAGAGGGGUUUAGAUAUGCUUAUGAAACUCAAUUUUCUGAUUCUUUCCGUAAAAUAUUCUCUGAGAUUUUUGAAGAUGAGACUGACCAAUUUGCACCUGAUAUUCAGGUGGAGCUAUUGCUCUCUUUUUCCGAAGCUGCUAAAGGAUGCACAAAACAUGUGUCCUUUGAUGCAUUUGUGCCCUGUGAUUCUUGCUAUGGACGUGGCUACCCAAUAGACGCCAAAACAAGUGUCUGUCCCAGGUGCAGAGGCAUAGGAAGAGUUACAAUUCCUCCAUUUACGUCAACAUGCAACACUUGUAAAGGAACGGGAAAAAUAAUUAAGGAACACUGUAUCUCAUGUAGAGGAUCAGGGGUUGUUGAUGGCAUCAAGGAAGUCAAAGUGACAAUUCCAGCAGGGGUGGACUCUGGAGAUACAAUACGUGUUCCAGAUGCGGGUAAUGCUGCUGGGCAAGGAAGCCAACCUGGGAACUUAUACAUUAAACUAAAGGUAACCGAUGAUCCUGUCUUUACUAGAGAUGGUGCAGAUGUUUAUGUGGACUCUAAUAUCAGCUUUACUCAAGUUAGCCCUAAAUCCUUUGCUAUUCUUGGUGGAAAGGUUGACUUGCCUACUUUGUCAGGGAAUGUGCAAGUAAAACAGAUACCAAAGGGAGUUCAGCAUGGGCAUCUGUUAGUCUUAAGAGGGAAAGGUUCAUGCAGGACUACCAAAGCAUGGUUUUCUUAUAGAUCAUGGAGAUCAAUAUGUGCGAUUUCGUAUUAACUUCCCUAAAGAAUUAAGUGAACGCCAACGGGCUAUAUUGGAAGAAUUUGCAGAAGAGGAAAUUAAUAAUGAGAACAGCACCUCCAGUGGAGGAAAUUGUCAUUUUACUGUUUGUAAUGAAGAUCCUGAAAUGGACGGCAGGCUUUAUCAGCAGCUAUCUACUGGUUGAACUUUCAGGUGGCAGCAAAUUGUUGAACGAGUAUCAGGUCCAAAGUUUGUGCUUGAGUUCUCCAUAUUCUUGUUAAUCCUGUUGUUCCUGAAUAAAACAAUGGGCUGAAAACAAACACAAGAAAAAUUUUUUAUGGAGAGAUAUGUGGCAACCAUAACGAGAUCAUGGGAGUGCCACCUUCGAUUUCUGCAAAUACAAGUCAAAGCUUAAUAACUCAAUCAGUCAAGUACGUUUGUCAAACCCCCAUUCAUUGGCAGUGAGUCAUUGCCUGUUUUGCUCACUUUUUGGUUGCGCUGUUGUUUCAAUAAUGUUAUAUAAGUCAUUAUUGUUGUAAAGAAAUAAUUUUCAGCUGUAGUGGUAAUUCAAUUGAAUUGUCUUUGUUUCCUA